AUCCUCCUGGAAAAAAAAAAAAAAAAAAAAAAAAACCCCUCAGAAUCCCUUUCAUCCUUCAACAGCAUGCGUUCGCCCUCCCACUGUCCCACAGCCUCGCUGUUUUGAGUUUCCGCUUCUCGACUAUCGUUGCCGCCUCUGCCUCUCGUCGUCUUCUCUCGACUCCAUUCUAGAUUUUCACUCACCUCUCUUGUUGUGAGCCUGCGUUUCGCUCUCUAGCGUUCAAUUUUGCGUUGGGUACCACUACCAGUCUAAGGGAUGGGGGGAGUGGAGACUCGAGAACCUGGAUCUGCAGGAGAGUUAUGUAUGCCUUAGCCACUGGAGCAAACCAGGCUAGGCCUACAUUAUUGAAUCUUGAAGUUGCACACAUUUAGGUAUGUAUAUAUAUAUAUACUUUUAGAGAUUCAAUUGAAUUUUGUUAUUAUCAAAAUGUUGGAGACAUUUGUUUUAGAGAGCCAUUAGUGGAAGAGAGUGAAAUUAACUCAUUGUCUUGAUCUGAGAAGCUAUUAUUUGAUUUCUCAUUUUCUCUUUACCGCCUCUGGAAUUUGAACAUUUCAUAUUUCUUACUUUUCUUGAAAUUGUUUACCCAUUUUCUUCCGAUGAAAUUGGGCAUAUGUUUUCAUUCAUGGAGUGCUUUGUGAAGCUUUUUUCAAGAGUGUUAUCACUUGUUGCUUCUUGAUCUAUUUUUGAGUUCAUCGACUUUAUAGCAAUGGUUAGAAUAUAUAGAAUAAGAUAAUUCCAUAUAUCUUUAGACUAAAGCAUUGAGAGAUUUCUUAAUUUGAGCAUCAUUUUCCAACUUUGUGAGGAAAAGGACGUCCAAGCAUCAAUUGUGAUGACCGCCG